rnacentral:rRNA from 1 species
AUUGAACGCUGGCGGCAGGCCUAACACAUGCAAGUCGAGCGGAUGAAGGGAGCUUGCUCCUGGAUUCAGCGGCGGAUGGGUGAGUAAUGCCUAGGAAUCUGCCUGGUAGUGGGGGAUAACGUCCGGAAACGGGCGCUAAUACCGCAUACGUCCUGAGGGAGAAAGUGGGGGAUCUUCGGACCUCACGCUAUCAGAUGAGCCUAGGUCGGAUUAGCUAGUUGGUGGGGUAAAGGCCUACCAAGGCGACGAUCCGUAACUGGUCUGAGAGGGUGAUCAGUCACACUGGAACUGAGACACGGUCCAGACUCCUACGGGAGGCAGCAGUGGGGAAUAUUGGACAAUGGGCGAAAGCCUGAUCCAGCCAUGCCGCGUGUGUGAAGAAGGUCUUCGGAUUGUAAAGCACUUUAAGUUGGGAGGAAGGGCAGUAAGUUAAUACCUUGCUGUUUUGACGUUACCAACAGAAUAAGCACCGGCUAACUUCGUG